rnacentral:ncRNA from 1 species
GGGAUGUUGUUAUGCACUGGAUUUAUAGAGGGGUUUGGCUCACUGCCAAACCUUUU